UACGUAGGGGGCAAGCGUUGUUCGGAAUUACUGGGCGUAAAGGGCGCGUAGGCGGCACGACAAGUCGGGAGUGAAAGCCCGGGGCUCAACCCCGGAACGUCUCUCGAAACUGUCGAGCUAGAGUGCAGAAGAGGCAACUGGAAUUCCCAGUGUAGCGGUGAAAUGCGUAGAUAUUGGGAAGAACACCUGAGGCGAAGGCGGGUUGCCGGGCUGACACUGACGCUGAGGCGCGAAAGCCAGGGGAGCGAACGGG
rnacentral:rRNA from 1 species